GUGCCAGCAGCCGCGGUAAUACAGAGGGUGCGAGCGUUAAUCGGAAUUACUGGGCGUAAAGCGCGCGUAGGCGGCUUGGUAUGUCGGGUGUGAAAUCCCCGGGCUCAACCUGGGAACUGCAUCCGAAACUGCCUUGCUCGAGUAUGGGAGAGGGAAGUGGAAUUUCCGGUGUAGCGGUGAAAUGCGUAGAUAUCGGAAGGAACAUCAGUGGCGAAGGCGACUUCCUGGACCAAUACUGACGCUCAGGUGCGAAAGCGUGGGGAGCAAACAGGAUUAGAUACCCUGGUAGUCCACGCCCUAAACGAUGAGAACUGGAUGUCGGGAGGGUCUGCCUUCCGGUGUCGUAGCUAACGCGUUAAGUUCUCCGCCUGGGAAGUACGGCCGCAAGGUUGAA
rnacentral:rRNA from 1 species